rnacentral:lncRNA from 1 species
UAAAAAAAUUCAAAAGAAGGCCUCAGAAAACCAACAGAAACCAAUAAAAAAACAGAGCAGAAACAUUGGAAUAUUGUUAAAGGAGAUGGGAAGUGAAGCUGAGAUUGCCAGGAAGCCAAGAUUUCUUUGCCUCCAUGGAUUCUGAACAAGCGGAGCGAUUCUCAAGAAACAGAUAGAGACAAAGUGGCCUCAAUCAGUGUUGGAAAAGAUUGAUCUAAUUUACCCUGAUGCUCCUUUUCCGGCACAGGGGAAAUCCGACGUUGAAGGGAUCUUUGAUCCUCCUUAUUACGAGUAGUUUCAGUUCAAUAAGGUAAACAAACACUAUUUCACGUUUUAUUCUUAGAUAUUUCUGUUAUUUUCCUUGUGUUUUUUUAUUCCCCCGGAUGAAAAAGAAACGCGGUUUCAUAUAUAUUGCAGGAAUUUACGAGUUACACAAACUUUGAAGAGUGUCUUGCUUAUAUCGAAGAUAUUAUGAUCAGGCAAGGACCAUUCGACGGUCUCCUUGGUUUCUCACAGGUGUGUUUUCUUGGGCUUAACGUCUGGGUUUCUGUUUGCUUGCCGAGAAACUGAAGGAAUCUUCAAGUUCCCUUUCUUGUCUCUUUUUUUUUUAUGCAUCCCAAUUGAAAAAACAAAAAGCUACUAUUACCAAGUAACAACAAAUGACAUGUGCAUUUUACAACUUUAUAAUUCCAGGGAGCUAUCUUGUCAUGUGGGUUGCCUGGACUGCAGGCGAAGGUGCGUUGAUACUGCUCUUCCCAUUUUGAUAUUAUUAUUAUUAUUAUUUUUCCGUUAAACCUUUGUUAGGGGCCAUAAGAGUUAAGGAUUCGUGCAACAUGAUUGGGUGUGGUUGCAGGGUGUGGCUCUCACAGAAGUUCCCAAAAUAAAGUAUUUGAUAAUAAUUGGAGGGGCUAAGUUCAAGUCCGAAUCAGUGGCAGAGAAAGCGUAUUCUUCCCCCAUUCAGUGCCCAUCCCUCCACUUCCUAGGUGCGCACAUUUCAUUUUUCUUCUACCUUUUUCAAUUGUUUAUUUUUCCAAAAUUUUGGAAGUUUUAGUUUUGCUUGCUGAAAUCUAAAAAGCUUAUGAAUUCUGUUGACUUAUUUUGAAUGCUAAAAAAAUUAUGUUCAUAAUUAAAUUACUUUCAAUAUAUAUUAAAUAUUACUUCUACAGAUGAAAUUAGAGUAUAAUUACCAUGAGUGUUGGAAAAAAAUCCUUAUUUAUAAUUUAUAAUUCAUUGUUUUGUUGAUAAGAAUUUUAAUUGUCUUGAAAUACUUUCAUUAAAAAUAUUUUUCAUAAUUCUAAUAGUAUUAAAUAAUUUAUAGAUUAAUAUUAUAAAAUUUGAAUUUUUUACACUUCAAAUUUUAUAUUUUAAAAUAUUUAUAUUUAUAUACAAUUGAUAUAUAUAAAAGUGCAAAGGUUGAGAAACUUUUUACUUAUAAAAGAUAAUAUUUCUACUCAUUAUAUUUCUAAAUUAUUAUUUUUCAUUUUAAAUAAUUUCAAUUGUUACAUCUCAUACUAUUACAUACAAUACUAAAUAUUAUAAAUUGUCAUUUUAAAUAUUAAUAAGAUUUUUUUGGUUUUGUAAGUAAAAGUUGUAAUUGCAUUGAAUAGCAUUCUUUAAAAAUAUUUUUGUUAUAAAUAUUAAUCAAAUUUAUCCAAUUUAUAAAUAUAAUUUUAAUUGCAUUGAAUACUUUUUAUUAAAAAAAUAUUUCUUAAUUUUAAAGUAUUGAAUAAUUUAUAGAUCAUAAUUACAAAAAUUUAAUGAUUUAUAUUACAAACCUUAACAUUAAAGAAUAUUUGCAUUUAUAUAUAAUUAUUAAUUUAAAAAUAAAUAAAUUUUUUUUCUGUAACCUAAUAUUAGUUUUUUUUAAUAAUUGAGAGAGGAAGGAUUGAACUUUACUUUUUAGGCAAGGAAUCAUGUACCAAGUCAAAUGUUCGGGUGAAACCUAAUAUUAGUUAAUUCUUAAAUAAUUAGUUACAAUAUAUGGAAUUGUCUUCCUUUUCUGGGAAGGACAAUAAUUAAUUUCCAGCCAUCCUUUCUUUUCAUUUAUUUUUUCAGGAGAGACAGAUUUCUUAAAACCAUAUGGAUUGGAGCUGUUGGAAUCCUGUGUAGACCCCGUGGUCAUUCAUCAUCCAAAGGGCCACACUAUUCCCAGAUUUGGUAGGUUUCUAUAUGCAAAUGGUUCCUUUUGGGUAACACUUGCAUGGAUUUUUGCUUGUUCAUCUGAUUCAUAGAAUCUCUUUUCCUUUUGUUGUUGUUGUUGUUAAUUCAGAUGAAAAAGGAUUGGAGAGUGUGAUGAGCUUCCUGGAGAGGAUUCAAAGGAUGUUGCCUGAGAAACAAGAAAAGGAAAUAUACUGCACAGCCACAGAAGAUGCUUUGGGAGCAUAAAACAAGAAUCGUUUAAUUAUUAGCUACUUAGCUUGUAAUGGCAUUGAUUAUAAGCCAAUAGGCUCGUAUUGGUUAUUUUCUAAAAAAGAAGAAGAAAUAUUCAAAAUUGAAAAUCAAUCAUGAAAACAAAAAAAAAAUCAAAAUAUUUUUAAAAAAAUUUAAAUAAAAUUUUAUUCUUUUAUUGUUGCGUUCAAUUAAAUUUUUUUAUUUUUAUUUUGAAUCAAAUAAAUUCUUAUAACUGAUAGUUGAUUAACUGUGUUAAUCAUAACAUCAUUUGCCAUUUUAUGUUACGUAGUGUUGAUAUGGUAUGAUAAUAUGAUAUUUUUCACUCAUCACAUCAAUACCACAUGAAUAUAAAAAUAAUAAGAGGUGUUUUAGUUAUUAUCAUUUAGUCAUCAAUAAUUCAAAAAAAUAUAUAAAAAUUAAAUUAAAUAAUAAAAAAAUAUUUAAAUAAUUCAAUGACUUUUUAAAAUAUUAUACCAAAAAAAAUUUAGCAAUCCACCCAAGUUAUGCAAUAGAGCUCUAUUUCUCCAUACAAUAAAAAAUAAUAAAAUAAUGUUUAUAAAUUUAUUAAAAAAAGAGAUAACUUAUUGCAAAAAAAAUAAUAUCCAAAGAUUAGAAGACCGAAUCAUAAAUUUAUGAUGCCAACAAUUUCAUUUUUGACAAAUAUUGAAUUUUAGAUUGAUUAAAAUUCUAAAUAUUGUUUUUGAAUAACAUUCGAAUAGUUGUAUAAUUUUAAAUUUCUUAUUUUAGGUGGAAUCAUUUCUAUUUUCAAGUGUUAUCAAAGAUAAUAUUUAUAAAUUUAUUAAAAAAAGAAAUAACUUAUUGCAAAAAAUAUAUAAUAUCCCAAAAAUUAAAAGACCGAAUCAUAAACUUAUUAUGCCAGUAUUUUCAUUUUUGACAAAUAUUGAAUUUUAAAUUGAUUAAAAUUCUAAAUCGUGUUUUUUUUAUUGUAAAAUUUUAAAGUUCUUGCCACACAUUGAGUCUUGUUUAAUUCUUAUGUUUUUCUAUUUACUUAAAUUUUUUGAAUUAUUUUAUCUUUACUAUUUUUUUGGAUGUUUUUCAUAACAACAAAUAUAUGUAGUACUAUAAUUUUAUGGUAUUGUUUUUAUUAUUCUUAUUUUUAUGUAUCUAACCGGUAAAAAAAAAAAUUCAGAUAAUCUAAAACAAAGGAAAACAAUGUUGGGAGUGUUACGCAAAGGCGGAAGAAUGAUAUGCUCGCUUCUCACCCAAGCACCAUUCCCUCUCGCUUAUUGUAGCUCUCCUUCUUCAAUUUACGAAGCCAAACCUUCUGGUUAUCUCCCUCGCUUCUCCUCGGUAAAAAGCUUCUCAUUCUCGCUCUCCUCAAAUCCAUCUAUCCAACCCUUUAACAAGUAAGAUAAUGUUGUUUUGAUUAACAGGGUUUUCUGUGUCCAAUUUCCUGCUCUGCAAUCCGAGCGUUGUGUUCGAAAUCCGGUAAAGUGGGAGGAAUGGCGUCGUCGCUGCAAAAUCAGGGUUCUAUUACGUACCUAACUCAGCGAGAAGCUGCCGAGAUUGAUGAGAUUCUCAUGGGUCCUCUUGGCUUUAGCGUUGAUCAGUUAAUGGUUAGUUACUCGCUUUUUUAAACUCAUUAAUUACUUAUAUAUACAUUUGUUGAACGGUUUCAGUUGAUGUCAAUUGUCAGGAAUUAGCUGGUUUAAGCGUCGCCACAUCGAUGGCUGAGGUAAUGGCUAAUACCUCUUUCUAUUUUGUUUAUCGAAUUUCUCUGGUUGCCAACUUGCCAUAUGCUAAUUCAAACAUACAAAAUAUCCUUGUUUUUAAGUUGACCUAAGCAUGCAUAAGGAGUUUCCGAUUAAAGGGUUCUGCUCCUUUUUUAUCGAUGUUGAGCUGAUUUCUUUACUUAUCUUGCUACAUUACUACUAGAAUGUCAAAAAUAUAUAUAUUGUUUAAUCAGCAAUUGUGCUUCAUCUUAUAUGUUUUUUUCAGCUUUCAAAAGGAGCUUUUCUUGUUGCAGGUUUAUAAACCAAGCGAGUAUAAUACGAGAAUGUCAAAUAUAUAUAUUAUGCAUGUUGCCACGUGUAGACGCUCGGGUAGCUAAGAAAUAAAGACGCCCAAUGAAACGCUCGGCUAACUCACUAACACGUACUCAAUUAAUCACAAAUCCAGCCAAAGUUGCCAAAUAAUUUCACGCUGUGCGUUGCAUGCUUUACAACUGUAACUUCGUCCUUGAUUCCCCCUAUAUAUCCAAAUCGUAUUGGAAAAAAAAAUUGACCCGAUAGCUCGCUGGAUUUUUGAAAUUUCGAGAGAGUUGGCAAUGACGGAGCCGUAUUCUAGUUUUAUUUUUCCGAAUUACUCUUUAAACAAUAAUAAUAAAACAAAAGGUUGAUGACGCUGUUGGGAGAUAGAUCUACCCUUAGUUUAUAAUCCUACGGUGCUGGAAACUUCUCUUUUUCUGUUGCACCGUUUUCUUUCUUUUUUUUUUUCCUUAGGUCCAACCUGUCUUCUACAGUUUUAUUUACGCGCGAAUGCGGCUUUUAAGAUUUAAGGCCUCGGGUCGACAUGCUGGCUUUGAACGCUUGUCGUCCACCAUUAAACAUUUAGUAAUUCAGAUAAGAGUACUGCCAAAUGGAGUCUAAGCUAAGCAAAUUCAACUGAAAUUUUGAAACCAACACUUUUUCAUCCCUCCUUCACACUUUUUUUUUUCCUUUUAAUCUUUUGAAUAGCAAAAAGGAAAAGCACAUUAAACCUUUAAAUCCCAAAUUUGAAUUCCUUUUAUAUUUAAUUUUAAUCUAAUUUUGUGUUUAUUUAUUUAUUAAACGUCUUUUGAUUGAUAUGAUUAAGGGUAUUUUGAAAUUUUACUUGAGUCUAAUUCUUUUUGAUUGAUUUUAGAUACGUACUCCUUGUAUUAGCCGAAUUUUACUCUUGAAGUAUUUUUCCACAAAAAUUAAAUCUAGAUUGACAAAAAAAAUGAAUUUUCUUUUUAUAAAUUUAUAAAAAAAAAUUAUUAUCCAAUUAUAAGAUGGGACAUAUCCAAAAUUAAUAAAUUGAAUAAACAUUUCGAAGAUGAAUCACGAUGUGGGCAUUUAAUAAAUAAACUUUAUGUUUGUGUUCGAACUUUUAAUCUAAGUUUUGAUGUAAAAUUUGUGUGUAUACAAUCAUUCGAGUGUUGGUUUGAUAUAUGUUAUAUAAUAAUUAUGCAAUAAAAUUUGAAAAUAAUUUUAUUGUUAUUGUAAUUUAUUUAUACUUAAACAUAUAUAUUCAUAAAAAAAUAAUUAGCUAAAGCAUGUGAAGUUGUCGACCUUCAUUAGAGCGGAAUUCAGAUAUUAAUUAGUUAGUAGUUUUGCACUAAUAACUUGAAAGAAUUUUAAUAAAAAAUAUUAGGGAUCCGAGCGACGAGAGUGGUAGCGUUAGUUGUUCCUUUGCAUGUUUGUUUUUUUUUAUUGCAUGUUUAACUUGGAGAGAUCACGAAAUGAACUAUGAAUAUUUUUGUUUACUUAUAUAGUGUCUAUAUAUUAUAAUAAGUGCAUGUAUAGGUUAUUUAAAAAAAUGAAAGUUUUUAAAAAGUCGAAAUAAAUAAAUACUAGUACAUGUUUUAAUGUAGACAUUGAACUUUGCAGUCCACAAAAUGGCACCAGCACCACAUGUUGGUAGGUGAGCCUCACUUUAAUUAGCUAUUAUUAUUAUUAUUAAUACAAAGAUAGAGUCGUGGCAUUUGGGUGCAUUGUUUUUAUCUUGAAACGUUUUAUAUACACAAUUAACAAUUAUCAAAAGAAAUUUAAAAACUUAAUUAAAUUAAAAUUUUAUAAUUAAUUAUUUUUAAUUAAUAAAUAAUUUAUCAUUUUAUAACACAAGGCACUGUGUCACAAGUCAAAAGUUAAACAUAAUCUUGUGGAUAAAUAGCGCAUUACAUAAUUAGGUGAGGUAGAAUCCACUAAAGAGUAAGUGUAAUGAGAGUGUUGCAUAAUUGGAUGAUGUAGAAUGUCAUGGAUCCCACAUCGGUAAGAGAUAGGUGGGUCUUGAGUAUAUAAACAUGGAUCUUUCACAGUCUAUUAGACAUAUUGUUUGGAUUGAGAACUAAGACAUAUUGAUUAAGCUUAUUGCCGCACGAGGUUGGGUUUAUUGUCCCAACUCUAAUACCAUUUAUCACAUGUUAGAACUUAAAUCCAACUUCGUGUGAUUUUAAAUUUUGAAAAUAAAGUUUAAGUAAACUUAUAAAUUACAAGUCCACAUUCUUAACCAAAAAACCAUUUAAAGUUUAAGUAAACCUAUAAAUCACAAGUUUACAUUCCCAACUUAAAAAACAUGUUUAAUAGGUAGUAGAAAACUCAUGGUUAUAUACUUAAUGUCCACCUCAUUUCUUACGGAUGUGAGAUCCGUGACUCAUUGACUUAAAAUAUGGAUAUGUUGUGAUAGAUAAUAAAAUGAUAUAUUGAUAUAAUCAUGUAACAUUUUUUACUUUUUAAAUUUAUAUUAAGUGAGUACAAAUGAUAAUUAAUAUUUUAAUUAAUAAUAAUUAAUUACAAAAUUUAUUUGAUUCAAAAUUAAAAUAUAUAGACUUGACUGAAACAGUAAUAAAAGAUAAAAUUUUAUUUAAAUUUUUUUAAUAUUUAAAAACUCUUUCAAGCAUUAUAAAAAAAAUUAUAUCAGGGAAUAUGUAAUCCGCGGGUGUUCAAACACACGCCUUUCUCGUGGAAACAGGGAAAACGCGAGGAAGGUAACGGGCUACCAGCUCACAAUCAGAAACAUCCGAUAGAUCAUAGCCGUCCAAACGAGUCCAACUAACUUUAUAAACCGUCAUUACGUUUCACUUGACUUUCCCCAGCCUCUCCUUCCCAAUUCGAGUGGGAUGGGGCUGGGAGGAGUCUAAUUAGAACUGGCGGCCUUUCGCUCGCACGUGUUUAGCGAGAUUCUUAUACGGUAUCCUCGUCCUUGCCCUAUAAAUUGCAGGAACCCAUGUAAAAAAAAAAAAAACAAAUAAAGGCCUCAGAGAACCAACGGAAACCAAUAAAAAAACAGAGCAGAAACAUUGGAAUAUUGUUAAAGGAGAUGGCAAGUGAACCUGAGAUUGUCAGGAAACCAAGAUUUCUUUGCCUCCAUGGAUUCAGAACAAGAGGAGCGAUUCUCAAGAAACAGAUAGAGACAAAUUGGCCUCAAUCAGUGUUGGAAAAGAUUGAUCUAGUUUACCCUGAUGCUCCUUUUCCGGCACAGGGGAAAGCCGACGUUGAAGGGAUCUUUGAUCCUCCUUAUUACGAGUGGU